rnacentral:rRNA from 1 species
GACGGACGCUGGCGGCGUGCUUAACACAUGCAAGUCGAACGGAAAGGCCCUGCUUUUGUGGGGUGCUCGAGUGGCGAACGGGUGAGUAACACGUGAGUAACCUGCCCUUGACUUUGGGAUAACUUCAGGAAACUGGGGCUAAUACCGGAUAGGAGCUCCUGCUGCAUGGUGGGGGUUGGAAAGUUUCGGCGGUUGGGGAUGGACUCGCGGCUUAUCAGCUUGUUGGUGGGGUAGUGGCUUACCAAGGCUUUGACGGGUAGCCGGCCUGAGAGGGUGACCGGCCACAUUGGGACUGAGAUACGGCCCAGACUCCUACGGGAGGCAGCAGUGGGGAAUAUUGCACAAUGGGCGGAAGCCUGAUGCAGCAACGCCGCGUGCGGGAUGACGGCCUUCGGGUUGUAAACCGCUUUCGCCUGUGACGAAGCGUGAGUGACGGUAAUGGGUAAAGAAGCACCGGCUAACUACGU